CAAUAGCGUAUAUUAAAGUUGUUGCGGUAAAAAAGCUCGUAGUUGGAUUUCUGUUGAGAGCGACCGGUCAUACCAUGUAUGCGUAUCUGGCUUGCUCUCGGCAUCCUCUCGAUAGACGUUACUGCGCUUGAUUGCGUGGUGCGGAUCUCGGGACUUUUACUUUGAGGAAAUUAGAGUGUUCACGGCAGGCUUUCGCCAGAAUACAUUAGCAUGGAAUAAUACUAUAGGAUCUUGGUUCUAUUUUGUUGGUUUCUAGAAUUGGGAUAAUGAUUAAUAGGGACAAUUGGGGGCAUCCGUAUCAACACGUCAGAGGUGGAAUUCUUGGAUUGUGUUGCGACGAACUACUGCGAAAGCAUUUGCCAAGGAUGUUUUCAUUGA
rnacentral:rRNA from 1 species